CGCGGAAAGAGCAAAGGGAAGGGGGGCGGUGGAACCCGCCGAUUCUUCUGCCGGUCGGUCUGGGGCUGCUCCGCGGGGAGUGCGGCGCGGGUCGCCGUGACCGGUCGGCGUGUUGCAAAGCGUGGAACGUGCAAAGUUUUCUUAAGAAAAGCUGUUCUUCGGGGUGACCGUCUCCGGAAAGAAUGUGAUGUCAGCUGCCGGUAGGCGACAGCAGGACAGUUGGAGGGGCAGUCAGCAGGGACAUUCCUCAGGGAAUGAGGGCUACGUCGUGCACAAAUUUACUAGAUCUAGGUUGUGGAAGGCCAUCCCAGAUGAACUGCUACGUAUCAGAGGUACCUGACGGCGGAUCAAGUUCAGCCACGAACUUCACCAGUCUCUCUCUCUUUCCUUUGCACCCCAUUUCGCAGGACACUUCCAGCACAUCAGGAUCAGCAGGACUGCCCCCGACACGUGCACAGCCAGCCCCAUCUCUCACAGGCUGCGGGAGCCUUUCACUCCUGCCAGGCCAGAUCAUAGCUCCUUGCUGUUCCCCAGCAAUUCAGACUGCUGGCAAGGUGGGUAUUGCUCGCUGCAGGCAGCCAGUUCUGCUCCUGAGCACCUUGGAGCCUCUUCUCAGCCAGAUAGGAAUGACAAACCCAGGUUCCACUUGGGGCAUGCUGUGUAACCAUAGGGGCUGUAAGGAUGGAAGCAGGCAGCGCUCCAUUCUUCUGUCCCCUCUGACCAUCAGCCCCUGCCAGGACUUUGGGCAGAGACCUCCUUCCUCCCACUCUCACUGAGCUCCUGCAGUUCUCCUCUGUAAACUCCAGUGCAUUUCUCUGCAGGGACAUCCCCAUGCUCUCAACAGCAGAGUCAAUGCCAGCUGACAUGGAACUACCAGAUCAUUCGCAGAAUCCUUACUGUGACCCCAAUGCACUGCAAGGAUGAAUUGGUCUUUGUUUUCAAAAAGAGAGAACUACAGAUGUUAGCGUUGAAACACAUAAAUCACAGGAUGAUUAUAUGCAGGUGCUUUUAUUGAAGAGCUCUGGGAAUCAGGGGUACAAACCCAAAUCUGACUCCCACAUGGAUUCGAGAUGGACAUGUUUUUAUACUCUUUUUGUUAUAUAACUAUAUAUUAAUUAUUAAACCCAUAUUGUUCUGUUGUAGAUAUUGAUCUUAUCCAAGCAUGUAUUCUUGUAAUUUUCAUCAGGACCCGCAAACAUCCUUUCUUAUGAUUCUUGUUACAAUUACAUUGUUUCUCAUGAUUCUUAUUACGAUUAAACAAUAAUUAUAUUCAAUUACCAAACAAUCAUUGCAUUUAACAAUCAUAUCAUUUAUCGACUGUCAACUUAUUGUUUAUCAAUUAUUGUUUAUUAACUGCAGGUGCAGUUUCACGUGAUCUAAUAAAGACAAAGCUCAACAUUC